UCUUCCUGAUCUUGACACUUCUGAUAUAGUCAGUGUGGUCUGCAGUUAACUUAUUCCUGACAGUCACAGUUGAUAAGAAUCAAAGGUUCCCUUUGGAUUCCAUAGAAAAUGCAUGCGGGUCAUUUUUGACCCACUUAUGGAAGGUUGGGGUAGUAAUACAAAAACUACAAUUUCUUAAAAUGUAUAAAAGGUAAGUUCAAAAUGUAAAUGUCAUUAUAUCAAAAACAUGUUUUUUGAGGAAUACCUGUAAUAUGAAAUGAUAACAU